CAGGGAAGAAGCGAAAGUGACGGUACCUGCAGAAGAAGCGCCGGCUAACUACGUGCCAGCAGCCGCGGUAAUACGUAGGGCGCGAGCGUUGUCCGGAAUUAUUGGGCGUAAAGAGCUCGUAGGCGGCUUGUCACGUCGGUUGUGAAAGCCCGGGGCUUAACCCCGGGUCUGCAGUCGAUACGGGCAGGCUAGAGUUCGGUAGGGGAGAUCGGAAUUCCUGGUGUAGCGGUGAAAUGCGCAGAUAUCAGGAGGAACACCGGUGGCGAAGGCGGAUCUCUGGGCCGAUACUGACGCUGAGGAGCGAAAGCGUGGGGAGCGAACAGGAUUAGAUACCCUGGUAGUCCACGCCGUAAACGGUGGGCACUAGGUGUGGGCAACAUUCCACGUUGUCCGUGCCGCAGCUAACGCAUUAAGUGCCCCGCCUGGGGAGUACGGCCGCAAGGCUAAAACUCAAAGGAAUUGACGG
rnacentral:rRNA from 1 species